rnacentral:rRNA from 1 species
GACGAACGCUGGCGGCGCGCCUAACACAUGCAAGUCGAACGAGCGAGAGAGAGCUUGCUUUCUUGAGCGAGUGGCGAACGGGUGAGUAACGCGUGAGGAACCUGCCUCAAAGAGGGGGACAACAGUUGGAAACGACUGCUAAUACCGCAUAAGCCCACGGUGCCGCAUGGCACAGAGGGAAAAGGAGCAAUCCGCUUUGAGAUGGUCUCGCGUCCGAUUAGCUAGUUGGUGAGGUAACGGCCCACCAAGGCGACGAUCGGUAGCCGGACUGAGAGGUUGAACGGCCACAUUGGGACUGAGACACGGCCCAGACUCCUACGGGAGGCAGCAGUGGGGAAUAUUGCACAAUGGGGGAAACCCUGAUGCAGCGACGCCGCGUGGAGGAAGAAGGUCUUCGGAUUGUAAACUCCUGUUGUUGGGGAAGAUAAUGACGGUACCCAACAAGGAAGUGACGGCUAACUACGUG